rnacentral:sRNA from 1 species
CAUCAUCGAGCAGAGCUGACUCGAUCCGGUUCGAGUUCUUGGCCAUAACAUGCGUGCUCGUGGAAAGCUCAAGAGAUCAAGCUUCAGAGAUCGAUGGAACAUGGCAGAAAAAUCUAUGUACAUUAGCUAAGAACGCAUGUACAUAUAUGUAUAGCUAGUUUCAACUUCCAAGUGCAUUCUGAGAGGGCUGUGAACUUCUCUGGUUUGUGCUUCCUUUUGACUUGAACAAAAAGAUCAUGCAAGCAGUUGCCUUGCUUGGACUCUGAAGCUUUGCUUUGGCGUCUAAAUUAAAUCAAGAUCCUACCUGAAUGGACAGUGCUGAACAGAUAGAUAAGUAGUAGUACUUAGCAUUUAGCAUUGAACUAGUUCUUGUCAACGAUAAGUAAUCCAAUCCAAGCGUGAGCUCACGCGUGCACUUUGAGUG